AGUGAACGCUGGCGGCAGGCCUAACACAUGCAAGUCGAACGGCAGCACAAGAGAGCUUGCUCUCUGGGUGGCGAGUGGCGGACGGGUGAGGAAUGCAUCGGAAUCUGCCCAUUUGUGGGGGAUAACCUCGGGAAACCGGGACUAAUACCGCAUACGACCUACGGGUGAAAGCAGGUGAUCUUCGGACCUUGCGCAGAUGGAUGAGCCGAUGCCGGAUUAGCUAGUUGGAGGGGUAAAGGCCCACCAAGGCGACGAUCCGUAGCUGGUCUGAGAGGAUGAUCAGCCACACUGGGACUGAGACACGGCCCAGACUCCUACGGGAGGCAGCAGUGGGGAAUAUUGGACAAUGGGCGCAAGCCUGAUCCAGCCAUGCCGCGUGUGUGAAGAAGGCCUUCGGGUUGUAAAGCACUUUUGUUGGGAAAGAAAAGCAGCCGGUUAAUACCCGGUUGUCAUGACGGUACCCAAAGAAUAAGCACCGGCUAACUUCGUG
rnacentral:rRNA from 1 species